UACACGCAUGACACACUGCAUAUCAAUAAGCGGAGGAAAAGAAACUAACUAGGAUUCCCUCAGUAACGGCGAGUGAAGCGGGAAGAGCUCAAAUUUGAAAUCUUCAAGGGUUCUACCUUGACGAAUUGUGGUUUAAAGAAGUGUUUUCUGUUGGAGUUUCGGUAAAAGUUCUUUGGAAUAGGACAUCAUAGAGGGUGAGAAUCCCGUAUUUGACCGUUACUUUCCAGCUGUGUGAUACACUUUCAAAGAGUCGGAUUGUUUGGGGAAUGCAGUCCAAAAUGGGUGGUAAAUUUCAUCUAAAGCUAAAUAUUGGCGAGAGACCGAUAGCGAACAAGUACCGUGAGGGAAAGAUGAAAAGAACUUUGAAAAGAGAGUUAAACAGUACGUGAAAUUGUCAAAAGGGAAGCGUUUGACACCAGUGUUGUUUAGUUGAAAAUCAAUUCAAUAAUUUUUGAUUUUGAGUAGUAUUGACUUCAUCAGCUUGCUGCUUUCUUUUCGGAAAUUAUUGAAUGCACUUUUCAGUUAACAAGUCAACAUCAAUUUCUUUUGUUGUAAAAGGGUAAGAGGAAGGUGGCUUACGCUUCGGCGUAAGUGUUUAUAGCCUUUUACCUCUGCAAUCGGAGAGAUUGAGGACAGCAGCGUAGACUCUUCGGGGUUAGAUACACUUGUGCUAAGCUAUAGCCUUGUAUAGACAACUUGUUGACUAUGCUCAGUCAUGUAGCUUACUCGCAUUGUGCUAUUUUACCUACGCUUAGGAUGUUGACUGAUAUGUAGUCGUA
rnacentral:rRNA from 1 species